GGCUAUGUCCAUGUGGACACAGACCACAGAUGUGGGCACACGAAUCCAUCCGCCUGUCCACGUGCACACGUGAAUGUAGCAACAGAUAUUUGGACAUCAAAUUUGGACACCAGGUCACAGAGAACACAGAGAAACACAGACACCACCCAGGAACACGCAGACAUAUGCCCACAGCAUCCCAUAGGCCCAGGCAGGAGGUCCCACCCCAGACCCCGCCCCAGACGCUCCCUCACCCUCUUGGCCCCCUUGCCCUGGCCCCCAGGUUCUCUGCAGAGAUCUCUCCUGGACCCCCAGUGGUCUCCUUGGCGCCCACGAACACAGGCGUGCACACGCAGCGCACAUGCAUUGAGACACACGAUACCUCGUUCCACCUUGGCGCAUGGUGGGCUGGAGGCAGCCCCCCCCCACAACACUUGAGGCCAAAGGACACCCCUGUCCCCGGGGCUCAGCCUCCCCCUGGGCCGAGGCCUUGACCCAUGCAGCUGAGGGAGAGGCCCAGUCCUGAGCCUCCCCCACCAGGACUGGGCCUACCCAGCAGCAAGCCCCCCGGCACUCCCCGCCAGGCCCAGGGUGGGGUGGACGGGCCCAAAGGCCCAGCCCCACACUCCUUUCCCGUCCACUUGUCACCUACCUACCCCCUUUUGGUUUGUUGGGUUUUUCGUCUUUCCAGAUUGCAGUGGACACAGCCCCCGAUCUCGAGCCCCGGCCCCCGGCUUCUGUCUGGACAUUGCAUCGCCCUAGUUUUCUUUCUUUAAAAAAAAAAAAAAAAAAUUCCAACAGAAGCCACAGGCCAGAGCCCCUGGGAGCCCUCGCACCGCUCCCCACCCGCCUCAGUGGCCCCAUCAGAACUGAGAAUUGCAAAACCCCGACUUAUAGCUAUAGUUAAGUUGCCUUCCCCCGGUGUCCCCACGUUUGGUGUCUGGCUAUGGCGCCCCCCAUCUGACUGUCCAGCUCUCUCUCCCCCACCCCUCCCGGUGUUGUUAUUAAACGUCUGUGGAGCUUCUGCUGCAAGGAACAAAAAAGAAAAAAAAUCAAAAAAGCGACAAAAAAAUACAAACAGAAGAGGAAAAAAAAAAGCAACAAAAAAAGAAAACACACAGAAGAGAUUUAAAAAAAAAAAAGGAAAAAAAAAAAGACAUAAACUGGCACCAGUUAACUUUCUUGUACUUUUUUGCUGAAUUUAGCUUCUUGUAGUUUUAACUUAUUGCUAUGUUAACUAUUUAUUCUCCUCGUUGCCCUGUAAGGACAUCCGUGUAUAUUUCUGUUACUUCAUCCGGUUUGCAAGUCAAAGGAACAACAAUGUUCUCUUUGUUUCUUUAAGUUUUGCCGAGACAUGGUUAAGCCUAAUUUAUUUAUAAAAGGGGAAGUGGAAUCAUUAAAGUAAUAAUAAUUAUUAAUAACAGUAAUGGUAGCCGAGUGGCACGUGGGGGCGUGUGCUCUGCGGGGCAGUCCCCACGGCCAGCGACGUCCAGGUCAUCCAUGGGAUUCUUUUUGCUCUUGUCUUGAGAAUUUUUUCAGUCCCAUUUAGCUGGUGAAAUCCCUAGCUUGUUCUUGAUACACAAACCUAUUUAUUCUUGUGGUUUUAAGUCCUCCCUGCCCUCUCCCCUCUCCCCUCCAGCAGGGCAGGGACCCCUCUCCCCUGCUGUCCCUUGGGGCUCUCUCCCCUCCGCCCUCUGCAUUCGGGAACACGCAUCUCUGCGUGGGAAGCUUGCAGCAGGGCGUCCGAGCAAUAAGGGCUGGGUUUGUCCCCCACCCUGGGGGGGGCCAGGCUCCAGAGAGGGGGCACCUCCCCACACACCCCCCCCACCGAGGCCUAGGCCCCUGCUGCCCCCAAGACUGGGAGGGGACUUCUUUUUCUAAAACACAAAACUCAGCCCAGCCAGGCCCCCUCCCUGGAGGCCAGCACCUCCCCGCAGGGGGCCAGGCCAGGGCUCCCAGGGGAGGGGGACUCGGGUCUUCCAUGUCCCUGGGGGGCAGGGGCCAGGCCAGGGGGGAGGGGGCUCAGCCCCUCCACCCCUCCCUUCAUCCUGUUAUUUAUUCGGAAGGUUUCAAAUCACGACAGAGUCCAUGUUGGAGGUGAUAAAAAACUGUAAAAAAAAAAAAAAAAAAAAAAAAGACAAAAAAAAAAAAAAAAAAAAAAAAAAAACCCAACAAGAACAUUUCGCGUUGCGUUUAGACUAUUUAUUACCGGGAUCACAGGCCUGGCCGCGGUAACAGACUUUUACAUGGAAUUGUUUAAUUAUUUGUACUUUUCAUGCCAGAAAAUAAAAGUUCAGAAUCUUAA